CCUACGGGUGGCAGCAGUGAGGAAUAUUGGUCAAUGGACGAGAGUCUGAACCAGCCAAGUAGCGUGAAGGAUGACUGCCCUAUGGGUUGUAAACUUCUUUUAUAAAGGAAUAAAACGAGGCACGUGUGCCUUUUUGCAUGUACUUUAUGAAUAAGGAUCGGCUAACUCCGUGCCAGCAGCCGCGGUAAUACGGAGGAUCCGAGCGUUAUCCGGAUUUAUUGGGUUUAAAGGGAGCGUAGAUGGGUUGUUAAGUCAGUUGUGAAAGUUUGCGGCUCAACCGUAAAAUUGCAAUUGAUACUGGCAGUCGUGAGUACAGUUGAGGUAAGCGGAAUUCGUGGUGUAGCGGUGAAAUGCUUAGAUAUCACGAAGAACCCCGAUUGCGAAGGCAGCUUACUAAACUGCGACUGACAUUGAUGCUCGAAAGUGUGGGUAUCAAACAGGAUUAGAUACCCCAGUAGUC
rnacentral:rRNA from 1 species